GUGAGGAAUUUUCCGCAAUGGGCGAAAGCCUGACGGAGCAAUGCCGCGUGAAGGAUGAAGGCCUAUGGGUUGUAAACUUCUUUUCUCAGAAAAGAAUUAUGACGGUAUCUGAGGAAUAAGCAUCGGCUAACUAUGUGCCAGCAGUCGCGGUAAGACAGAGGAUGCAAGCGUUAUCCGGAAUGAUUGGGCGUAAAGCGUCUGUAGGUUGUUUAAAAAGUAUUCUGUCAAAGAUUAGGGCUUAACCCUAGAUAGGCAGAAUAAACUUUUAAGCUAGAGUUUGGUAGAGGCAGAGGGAAUUCCCGGUGGAGCGGUGAAAUGCGUAGAUAUCGGGAGGAACACCAAAGGCGAAGGCACUCUGCUGGGCCAAUACUAACACUGAGAGACGAAAGCGAGGGGAGCAAAUGGGAUUAGAUACCCGAGUAGUCC
rnacentral:rRNA from 1 species